UCCCCAAUAACAUAUGACUAGCACACAUAGGCACCACAUCACACCAAACUUCAUCCUUAUAUCUACCAAUUGAAAAGGAAAUUAACACUUGUCGAUUUACCUUUACUACACCACUAUCAUUCAACCAUUGUAACUUGUACGGUUUUGAAUGCUUGAUAGUAGAUAAUUUCAGUUUCUCCACGAGCAAGGUGCUUGCCACAUUUGUGCAACUUCCACUAUCA
rnacentral:lncRNA from 1 species